GAUUUAAUAUCAAAACAUUUUAAAAGUUAUUUAUUUAUGUAGGUUAAGAAAACAUCUUCAGAGACCAGCAUGGCAAAACAGUGCUUACAGAAAUACAAGUCAGGUUCCACUGCUGAAACACGAGAUGUUGAAGUAGACCAUUUGAAGAGUGUACAGCUCCAGAAAGAAAAUCAGGAUCUUAAGGAGAGAAUCAAAAUCUUAAGGAAAUGCUCUUCAAAGAAAUGCCUAUGUUUUUGACCGAAAUAAAAGAGAUUUUGCACAGAUCCAUGAACAAUAUCAGGCGUUCAUCAACUCCAGAAGUGGAUCCUCCAACUACACCAAAAUCAGGAAAUUCAAUGAAGACCGGAAACCCAACCCAGGUUCUUGACAAGGUAGAAAUAUAUCCAGGUAUUGGGGUGUUCUGUGACAAACUUGUGUGGGCUUUAGCCAACAAUUCACACACAGCAACAUCAUCUGUGCGCACUCUUCUUGUGAAUCUAUUCCCUUUGGAUGUUUUGCUGAAAAGUAACUUGAGAGGGAGGAGCAAAGACACCACAGAGCACAGACCUGCAUUAGAUGCAACAAAGAUUGAUGCCAUCUACAGAGCAACUUUGCAGAAGUGGCCUAAUACCCCACAGGCUGUUAUUGGCUCAGCAAUCAAUGGCAAGUUGGCUGAACUUCGCAAUAAAAGUAAACAAAAACUACAGCAUACAUGGACUCAAAGUGAGGGAGAUGUGAGCACUGAAUGAGUAUGUCAUAAUGUAGCCUUGAUUUAAUAGGAAUCCAAAUAAUUCAAUUUCUUCCAGUUCUGAUUACAUGUUACAGUUCCUAUGUGUGUUUUGCAAAUGGCAUGUAAGGUAUAAGGAGUUUGUGUAUAACAUGUUUGAUAAAUAAUUUCAAUCUGUUAUUUGCACACACAAAAAAAAUAAUAUGUGGUAUAAUGUACACCAUUAUUUAACUUGGCUAUUUUGCAUAAGCUUUUCCAACAUGAUUAUAUGUUUUUGUCAAGUUAGGUUGCUUGUUGUUGUUCUUGGAAUAAUACUUUUUUUAUUUUUAUCAAACCUUACUAUUUUGAGUCUACCACUAUUGGAAGAGAAGCCAUUUAGAGAUGGCCCUAAGUUGUCCUAAAAACGGCCAGUGUAAACACACCAUUAGACUUUUAUAACAUGCAGCAUCACAUAUGAGUAUGACAAGCCAAAUGAUCAUUUAGAGAUAUAUCACAUUGCAUUUUAAGACAUCUGGAAAUGAUGUAGAGAUAUAUUUACAGACUCAAGAGCAAAUUGUGCAAAUUGACUAAUAUAUUGUUUUCUUAUUAUGAAUGGAACAAAUGUGUAUAUGACAAGUUUUGCAGUUGUAAAACUUUGAAAUAAAAGCAAUUUCCAGUACAAUAUUGCCUUCUAUCCCUUUUUAACAGUCAGUACAGUAACUAUUUUGUAAUAUACAGUGCACAUAUAGUAUUGUUGCAAAAACGUAUAUAUAUAUAUAUAUAUAUGCUAUUUAAUUAUAUACUGAUAUUUGUAUUGACAACCAAUAUAGAGAUUCAUAUAAAAACUUAA